rnacentral:rRNA from 1 species
AUUGAACGCUGGCGGCAGGCUUAACACAUGCAAGUCGAACGAUGACUCUCUAGCUUGCUAGAGAUGAUUAGUGGCGGACGGGUGAGUAACAUUUAGGCAUCUGCCUAGUAGUGGGGGAUAGCUCGGGGAAACUCGAAUUAAUACCGCAUACGACCUACGGGUGAAAGGGGGCGCAAGCUCUUGCUAUUAGAUGAGCCUAAAUCAGAUUAGCUAGUUGGUGGGGUAAAGGCCCACCAAGGCGACGAUCUGUAACUGGUCUGAGAGGAUGAUCAGUCACACCGGAACUGAGACACGGUCCGGACUCCUACGGGAGGCAGCAGUGGGGAAUAUUGGACAAUGGGGGCAACCCUGAUCCAGCCAUGCCGCGUGUGUGAAGAAGGCCUUUUGGUUGUAAAGCACUUUAAGCAGGGAGGAGAGGCUAAUGGUUAAUACCCAUUAGAUUAGACGUUACCUGCAGAAUAAGCACCGGCUAACUCUGUGCCAGCAGCCGCAGUAA